UUUUUUUUUUCCUUUCUUUUCUUCUUGCAUUUUUUCUGGACAUACUUAAUGCAGAAAUUCAUCUUGCAUGACUUCAUAUUGGUAAAGAGAUUGUAUUUCCUGUCUUCUUAGUAGGUAUAGGAAUUCAGCUGAACAUGAAAUACAAUUGAAUUAAAAAAUAAAUUCUCAACUAACUCUAUUAUCAUAAAAUAUCCCAUCUAGAGACAGACAUGAUGAAGGGUAGCAGCUAGGUCACCCUUCAGACAGAACACUAGGACUAGAGUCAGGAAGAUCCAAAUUCAAAUCUGCUUUCAGACACUUACUAGUUUUGUGACCCUGGGCAAGUCACUUAACCUCUGAAUAUCUCAGCUUCCUUAUCAAAAAAUAGGGACCAUAAUAGCUUCAGUGCCUGAGGGCUGUGGUGAGGAUCAAAUGAGAUAAUAUUUGAAAAGUAUCUAUUAUAGUGCCUGCACAUAGUAGGUACCAUAUAACUGGUUAUUCCCUUUCCUUCUCCUAAACCCUGGGAGUCUUUGAUUCUAGUGGGAAUUGGGAGUUUUGUAGGGAGGAAAAGAGUUUUCAUUGAAGACAAAUCAAAUUCCACCUGAUGUGUAUCUGUGGAGUUUCUCUUUCUGUAGGACUUUCUUUAUGGAUGAGUGUCUAUCCCCUCCCUCCACCUCUCCUCCUCUCCUUUCCUCCCUCCCUCUAUGGACUGCUAGCCUGCCUGCAUUCAGGUCCCUUCACUCUUCUUCUCUCUUCUUUCUCCCUUCUUACCACAAUAUUCAUGCAUUCUCCCCAUCUCUUUCUUCCCAGAUGAAAGUCAGUAUUUCAAGCAACAAACCCCUUAACUGUGAUCCUCCACCUUAUGACCAAGAAGCCUGUAUAUGUCCUGAGGAUCUUCCACGUAAAUUCUUCUUUAAUGUGUGCAGCAAAGGCAAUGUAUCUUUGACCUGCAUGGCUGUGGCAAUUAAUGAAAAAAACAUCUGUGAACCUGGAAAAGGUGUGUUUCCAAUAAAUGGCUUCUUUUAUUACCACAGGAGGCCAUACAAAGUAACAACCUAAAGUGAAAUCCUGUUCUCUCUUUCUCUGGCUGGUCACCCUAUGGCAUAUUAUCUUCGGAUUAAGUGUCUGAGGCCAGUAUAGUCUCUGAGAUGAACAUCCCACAAAUUUCUCUGCCUGGCUGGGUUAUUCAAAUCAUGUUUUCUUUGUUUGCUUCCCCCCACAAUACCUUCACUUACACACACCUUCAAUAAAGUUCAUUGCUCGCAACA
rnacentral:lncRNA from 1 species